rnacentral:lncRNA from 1 species
CCUAGUUUCCCAGUGCUGGAAUAUAGAAAAUGGAUGGACAAGUAAAUCCCACUCAGCACCCAUAGUCCAGGCAUGGGGACCUCAACACACCUGAGCCCCAGACAUCACCUUUCAUUCUGGACCUACCAUGAAAGACUUCUGAAUCCAGGAAGAGAAACUGACUGGGCAACAUGUUAUUCAGAAACAGGACCUUGCCUGUCACUCAGGAUGGAGUUCAGUGGUCCUAUCAUGGCUCAUUAUAGCCUCAAACUCCCAGGCUCAAGCAAUCCUACCAUGUCAGCCUUCCCAGUAGCUGGGACUACAGGCUGGAGUACAGUGGCACAACCUCUGCUCACUGCAGCCUCCACCUGCCAGGCUCAAGCAAUUCUCCUGCCUCAGCCUCCCGAGUAGCUGGGAUUACAG